GUGUCGUGAGAUGUUGGGUUAAGUCCCGCAACGAGCGCAACCCUUAAGCUUAGUUGCCAUCAUUAAGUUGGGCACUCUAAGUUGACUGCCGGUGACAAACCGGAGGAAGGUGGGGAUGACGUCAAAUCAUCAUGCCCCUUAUGAUUUGGGCUACACACGUGCUACAAUGGACAAUACAAAGGGUAGCGAAACCGCGAGGUCAAGCAAAUCCCAUAAAGUUGUUCUCAGUUCGGAUUGUAGUCUGCAACUCGACUACAUGAAGCUGGAAUCGCUAGUAAUCGUAGAUCAGCAUGCUACGGUGAAUAC
rnacentral:rRNA from 1 species